rnacentral:tRNA from 1 species
GUCCCUGUAGUUCAAUGGAUAGAACAUCAGCCUUCUAAGCUGAAUAUCUAGGUUCGAUUCCUAGCGGGGACA